GCCUUCCUUUCCCAUGAAGAAGAGAAGAAGCUUGAGGAUCGCGUGAACACGCUUCAGUUUUCUUAUUCUUUUCUAUAGAUGUGGGGAAAAGAACAGCCGAUUGUGUGAAAAACCUAGUGCCUGCAAAAAGGGACAUUGGCCAUCCAGGCGAAGGUCUUAAAAGCCACACUCUCUCCCUCGCUGCAAAAUACUUUGGCACUUCUCUCAUCCGAGGUGUUCGUAGCAGGGGCUCACCAGCAAGCGCGUACGCCGGUGCACAUGCCGCGCGUUUGCGCCGGGCUGGGGACGAGUACGGGCAGCCCUGAAAACCAAAAUGUGUCAGGUUUAAGAAGGCGUUUUUGUCUGCUGAAGGGAAAGAAGGGAAAACUAAGAAGACCCCUGGAAUCUGUUGUGUUACUGUCAAAAAGUGUGUGCGGGGCUUUAUCUUCUGGCUCCGAGGCAGAGCAGUAGCAGUGAAGUGGCUGCAGAAGGAGUGUGUGAAAUGAACACGUGAAGAACAUGCAGCAGCCCUGCAAAGCCGCCCCAGCGCAGGCAGCCUCUUCUAUGUCUUUAUACGCCCUUCCAAAAAAAAAAAAAAAAAAAACCUUCGCAAGUCACAAACAAUUCAGAAUUCAACUAAGAAAACACAGAGUGAACCAUAUGGCCAGGGUGGCUCGAGUUGGCUGCAUUUUCCCCCAGACAAAGAAGGGAUUGAGAGUUGAAGGAAAGGAGAAAAAAAACAACUUUCCGGCUGAUGAAGCUGUUGUCUGGAGGCAAUGAUCCCAAAUCUCAAGGCUUUAUUCCAGGCUCCGACUGAGACGUGAUAUGUCAUAUGAUUAGCAUCUUUCAUAUUUACAAGAGUGGUAUAGGCUGCCAGUCUUUAGAGAAAGGCGAGAAAAAGAAGGGGCAUAUGCUGAAAUGGAUUUAGCAUUUGAAAGAGAGAAAGGAGAUCGGAUAAAUACACUUAAACGAGGAUUUAGUUUUACUCCCGUUGAGUUCUAAUGGAUUGUUGAUUGAGAUUUUAGGGAGCUGGAACAGAGGCGUCAGCAGCAAUUUGCAGGCACUAUUCACCCUCUGCUCUUGCCUCUUUUGCUCCGCUCACGGAGCGACGGCAGCGGACGGCGGCGCCACCUGGCGGCUAACGGGCAGGGAAGCGAGGAGGGAGGCAGAGGAGGAGGCAAGGAGGCAAGGAAGGAGGCAAGGAGACUGGUUGCAGGGCACCCUCUUAGUCCUCGGGUGCUUUGUGCGGUGCCAGAAGGGCGAAAACCUGCGGAAGGUUGUUGCUGGGGGGCUCCGGGCAGGCACAAAGCUGGAGCUGCUGCGGUCACCUUGUGGGUUUGGUCCCUGUGGUAUCCCAAGGCUGUUCGGCUGGUGCACUUUACGGUGUUUUGCUCAGGUCUGGUUUAUUUCCAGAGACUGAAUACGACAAGCUCAUCACUACUUUGUUUCUGAGCUGAAUAAGAAGAAAGGAGAUUACUUCUAAUGUUUUUAGUGCUAUUAGGGUGCCAGUUCCAUGGCAGGUGCGAGAGUGCCUCAGAGGCUUCUGGGGAAGAAGUUAAACAGUGUGGCAGCAUCUAGAAAUUUUACAAGGCCCAUGCUCAGCCCACUUUUCCCCAUAAAUUAAUCACUGAGAAUCCUCAUAUCUUAGUAUGAGUUCAUACAUUAACUACUGACACUCCUCUAUAUACCUUUGAGACACCCUAUGGGUCAACUUUUGUUGUGAUAAAAAAACUUUUUUUCUCAUGUGAGACAGUUUCUCACAUAACAGCACUUGCUUCCAAAACAAAAUAUUUCAGCUAGUUUUGAAACAGGGCCGAGUGACCUUAUCCUACGCUUGUAACACAUCUAGAUACAUCCAACCUGCUGUCAUUUAGUUUUGUUGACUUCCAAAGAUUUAAUAAAACAUGUAAUGUAAUUUUUUCAAGGAAAAUUAAGUCCCUUUUAUUUUAGCCACACUCCUAAUUUGACUGAUUUGUAAAUAGACAAAAUGACUAUUGUUUUUACAAUAUGAGGUUACGUACAUACCUGAAGAAUAACAAAAUGCUAAUAAUACAGUUAGGUACUUUAUAAGCUUAAAAGGAUUUCAGAUAUCAAGCAGUUACUUUAUUCUUUAGUUUUAGUCAUACAAACAAGGGAUCAAAACAGAAGAAUCAGGACAGAGAUACAAAUAAAAUUUUCCCCCAUUAAAUAUAAAUAUUAGAUUUUCAGUAGUUCUGGUAAAUUUUAUAGACACACCAUUCAUAUAUUGUCUUCAUAAAAUAUGUGCACAUUUAUUUUUCCUUUUUCUUACUCUUUUCUUCCUUCUCCUUUUCUUCCAAAUAACACUUAAGAAUGUUGUUCAGCUGCUGCUCACACUGGCUUACAUGUUGCAAUCCAUUUUCCCAUUCUGAAAGUAACAAUAAACAGGAUAAUUAGAUCUCACUUUACAGCACUCAUCACGUAAUCAGUCUGUGGUGAUGAGAAUAUCUAUUUCCAAAACCCUAUCAAGCGGCUAUAAUAUUUCUACUUGGAAAAUUGUUGUUCUUCAGAGUUCAGCCAUUAAUGAGAUGCUUCCUCUGAUGCCAAGUAGGUAAAAGAAUAAUUACUAUUUUGGGACCUGUUCUUGCAGUGACUCAUUACCAGUCGUUUUAGGAACUGAGCACUCCUUUUGCAGUCUCCACUAAGGUCCUAUCUCUCCAAAGGGCAGGGCCUUGCCCAGAGGUAAGGAAGCAUGUGGGUUCCGGGGAGUUGGAUUCAGCCAGAGUUUAUUGAAUGUACUUUAGACGUUUGGACCUAUUCUCUCACUUUUCUAGUUCAAAGAAAAUUGCCAAGGCAAAAAUUAUGAUUAAAUGUACUCAUGCUUUGAGAUACGAAGUGUCCCACUUCAAACAAAGGGGAAAACUAUCAUGUGUUUUGUUUUGUUUUCUUCCAAGCUAUGCAUACCCUGGGAAUGAGAGAGAGACAGAACAAAGGGGCUGCUCAAGCAUUUUAAACACCUUCUAGCAAAGGUGCAAGUAGGUGAGAGGCAUCAAAAGAAUUUUUUUGUUUUAGCUGUUUUUAGGUGUUGCUCAAGUGUGUAAAUGCUCAUUUGCAGUAAGCUUCAGGAAAUAUGCAGAAACAAUGUAAGAAACUGAUUUUCAAAAACUGUUUCUUUUUGUGGCCCAGUAAAACACACGUAUUCACAAGACAAUGGCCUGUAAACAAAGCAAUCAGAAAUUAGUAAGAGUUAACUGAUCUCCAGUUGCAUUGUUGUUUUUUUUUUUUUCCUAGUAACUCAGAAGUUUAUCAUCCAAAAACAAAUGAGCCCCCCAGUUGCAGAAAGACACUGCACAUUUGUCUUUCAUUUGUUAAUUCUGCCUACCCAGAAAUACUGCUCUAUGGACGAAUUUGUUCGUAACGUAUUCCUGCCUGGGUCUACUAUGUAAAAGCAAAUUGAGAAAGGACUGGAAAUGCAGUAACGGGGUUCAGGUCUCCUUACCAGAGAGUGUUCUUUGUCCGUCUAUCUGAUGCCAUCCAAAGAAGAAAAUUAAAGUCCCUUUACUGGAUAACAAAUACACUAAGUAUAAAAGCAGUUUGCAAUAAAACUGCAAACGUACAUCUUUCACACUUGAGAUCUACUUGCAAUAUAAAAUAUAUGUAGUAAAUGUACUGUAUUUUACAUAGUAUGUAUACUAUACAUUUUGUAGUAUGUAUAUUGUGUUGUAUAUAUACUGCUGUAAACAGCAUAUUCUAUCAUUUAAAAAGAUGAGCUACAUGUUUUUGAAAAUAAAGGAAAAACGUAA